GAGCGUAGGCGGAUUUUUAAGUGAGAUGUGAAAUACUCGGGCUUAACCUGAGUGCUGCAUUUCAAACUGGAAGUCUAGAGUGCAGGAGAGGAGAAGGGAAUUCCUAGUGUAGCGGUGAAAUGCGUAGAUAUUAGGAGGAACACCAGUGGCGAAGGCGGCUUACUGGACGGUAACUGACGUUGAGGCUCGAAAGCGUGGGGAGCAAACA
rnacentral:rRNA from 1 species